rnacentral:rRNA from 1 species
GACGAACGGUGCGAACGUUGUUCGGAAUCACUGGGCAUAAAGGGCGCGUAGGCGGCUUAUCAAGUCAGGGGUGAAAUCCGGCAGCUCAACUGUGGAAGUGCCUUUGAUACUGAUGAGCUCGAGGGAGGUAGGGGUAUGCGGAACUUCCGGUGGAGCGGUGAAAUGCGUUGAUAUCGGAAGGAACGCCGGUGGCGAAAGCGGCGUACUGGACCUCUUCUGACGCUGAGGCGCGAAAGCUAGGGGAGCAAACGGG